GGAGUUUGCUCCCAGGCAAAAGGGCAGACGUUGUUCCCGACCUUCCUUCGGUCUGCGGCUGGAAAAGCGUCUCUGUUUCAUGGGCUCGGUCCGAGGUGGAGAACGGAGCUGCCCGUGCGGGGUGCGCGCCAAGGCGGGGGACAGGACGGGCCCGGCGCCUGCCGAGACCCAGGCUGCCCGGACGCCGCUCGCGGCUCCCGUUCUGCCUCCCGCUCUGGCGGCGCCGCAGCCGCGCUGGCCCCCGCCCCGCCCGGCAGCUCCCGCGAGUCAGAGCCCAGUGCCCCCAGAUUGCAGGCGGUCCGGGCCUCAUUCCGGGCCAGAGCCAGAAAGAGCCUGACCCAGCUCCUCCAUUCUUCCAGGGAACCCCUUCCCGGAGGGCGCCCUCGGCCUCCGCGCCAUAUUCUUGGUCCCCCGCUCCCGGUGACUCCGGCUCCCUGGGUCAUUCCGGGAGAGGCGGCCAUCUCAGUUGCAGGGGUCCCGCUGGGGCGCGGGGGUCCCCGAGGGGGACAAACUGUAGCAAAGGGGGCUGUUCACUCACCCGGGUGCGGGCUGGAGGCGACGGGCUGGCUGCCGAGGUUGGUAGCUGGCCGAACUCACUUCCAGCGCGGAGCUGUUUCUCUAGCUGGGAUGGGAAGUGGUGGUGGCGGCAAAGGAAGGCAGGAGGCAGCCGCGGCUGCUGAACAGCUCCUCAAUUAUUCAGAUUGCGCCCCCACCCCCGAACCCCUCCCCGCGCCUGCUCGUCCUCCCUCCAGCUCGCCUGUCUCCGCCUCCUUGGAGUCACGUGGGCUGCCCAACCCCUUACAUAUUGAGCCCAAGCCUGGCACCAGACCCCCUCCCACCUGGCCUGCCGUCCCCCGUCCCCCCCAUCUGCCGGUCGCAACUCCUCGCUGGCCUUCUGAGCCUCCAGGUGUGACCUCCAGUGUCUUAUCUCAGGCUGCGGGGAGGCUGAGGGGGCCGUGUGGGAAAGCAGGGACCAGCAGGACUCUGCAGUGUCUGUGUGUUGGGAAGGCAUCUGCCACAGCUCUGCCCCUGCUAGACUGGGCUGUCCAGACCUCCUUCCUGCCCUCUGGAAGCUUCCCUCAUCCUCUGCGAAGGCUUCCUUGCUCUUAA
rnacentral:lncRNA from 1 species